UCUAGAACUCGAGAUAUGGGCUGAACACUGAACAGUGUCUGGGUUGCAGGACAGAUUCGGGCUUCUUCAUUGUUGCUACAAUUUGGACUCGAAAACGGCCUUAUUAAAUCUUGGUCUCCGCAUGAAAGUUGUAGGCCUAUGUCUUACCUUUCCAUC
rfam:Populus trichocarpa scaffold_12_contig_142, whole genome shotgun sequence.